rnacentral:rRNA from 1 species
UCUUCCCUCUGGCGGCGUGCCUAAUACAUGCAAGUCGAGCGAACAGACGAGGAGCUUGCUCCUCUGACGUUAGCGGCGGACGGGCGAGUAACACGUGGAUAACCUACCUAUAAGACUGGGAUAACUUCGGGAAACCGGAGCUAAUACCGGAUAAUAUAUUGAACCGCAUGGUUCAAUAGUGAAAGACGGUUUUGCUGUCACUUAUAGAUGGAUCCGCGCCGCAUUAGCUAGUUGGUAAGGUAACGGCUUACCAAGGCGACGAUGCGUAGCCGACCUGAGAGGGUGAUCGGCCACACUGGAACUGAGACACGGUCCAGACUCCUACGGGAGGCAGCAGUAGGGAAUCUUCCGCAAUGGGCGAAAGCCUGACGGAGCAACGCCGCGUGAGUGAUGAAGGUCUUCGGAUCGUAAAACUCUGUUAUUAGGGAAGAACAAAUGUGUAAGUAACUAUGCACGUCUUGACGGUACCUAAUCAGAAAGCCACGGCUAACUACGUG